rnacentral:snRNA from 1 species
GUCACUUCGGCGGCACAUACACAAAAUUGGGAGGAUACCGAGAUUAGCAUGGCCCCUGCAAAGGAUGACACGCAAAUUCGUGAAACGUUCCAUAUUUUU